AACGCAGCGAAGGGCGAUAAGUAAUGUGAAUUGCAGAAUUCAGUGAAUCAUCGAAUCUUUGAACGCACCUUGCACCUUUUGGUAUUCCGAAAAGGUAUGCCUGUUUGAGUGUCUUGAAUUAUCACUUUAAAAGAGUUUUUCUCUUUAAACGUGGAUGUGGGUUUGCAAUCUGCUCACCUAGAAUGCCUUAGUGGUUCAAACUGGAUCCUGAUGUAAUAAGUUUCAUUAGGUGAAAGGAAGACUGCUUCUAAUUGCCUUUGGGCUCUCUUUUAAGACUAGACCUCAAAUCAGGUAGGACUACCCGCUGAACUUAA
rnacentral:rRNA from 1 species